AUUGAACGCUGGCGGCAUGCUUUACACAUGCAAGUCGAACGGCAGCACGGGGGCAACCCUGGUGGCGAGUGGCGAACGGGUGAGUAAUGCAUCGGAACAUGCCCAGUCGUGGGGGAUAACGUAGCGAAAGUUACGCUAAUACCGCAUACGUCCUGAGGGAGAAAGCGGGGGAUCGCAAGACCUCGCGCGAUUGGAGUGGCCGAUGUCAGAUUAGCUAGUUGGUGGGGUAAAGGCCCACCAAGGCGACGAUCUGUAGCGGGUCUGAGAGGAUGAUCCGCCACACUGGGACUGAGACACGGCCCAGACUCCUACGGGAGGCAGCAGUAAGGAAUAUUGGACAAUGGGCGCAAGCCUGAUCCAGCCAUGCCGCGUGCAGGAUGAAAGUGCUCUGCACUGUAAACUGCUUUUACUUGGGAAAAAACCCCUGGUUUCCACCGGGGCUGAUUGUACCGAGAGAAUAAGGGACGGCUAACUUCGUGCCAGCAGCCGCAGUAACAC
rnacentral:rRNA from 1 species